rnacentral:misc_RNA from 1 species
GGGCUGUCGCUGACUUUUCGUCGUGCACGCCCCAAGUGCUCUCAACCAUCCAUCUCACCCUAUGUGCACCACCGCGUGGGUUCCCUUUUGGCUCCGCCCGAAAGGGGGUCCGGUUUUUCACCCAACUCCAAACGGUGGAAAAAGGUCCUUUGGCAAAACCCCGCAUUUAAAACACUUUUCAACACGGAACUCUUGGCUCCUGCCUCCAUGAAGAAAGGCGCCAAAUGGCAAAACUAAUGGGAAUUGGCGAAAUUCAUGGAACCUCCAAUCCUUUGACGGCCCUUGGCCCCCUUGGGAUUCCGAAGGGGCACACCCGUUGGAGGGCCGGGAAUUCUCAAAAACCUUUUCUUUAUGAAAAGGGUUUGGAAUUGGAAGCUUUUUGGUGGGUUUCCCCCCAAACCAACUCCUCCCAAAAGGAUUAAGGGGGUCCGGCUUGGCCAACCCUGGAGGGAAAAAAAUGUAA